rnacentral:rRNA from 1 species
CAGUAGCCGCGGGAAAACGUAGGGUGCGAGCGUUAAUCGGAAUUACUGGGCGUAAAGCGUGCGCAGGCGGUUUUGUAAGACAGGCGUGAAAUCCCCGGGCUCAACCUGGGAAUGGCGCUUGUGACUGCAAAGCUAGAGUGCGGCAGAGGGGGAUGGAAUUCCGCGUGUAGCAGUGAAAUGCGUAGAUAUGCGGAGGAACACCGAUGGCGAAGGCAAUCCCCUGGGCCUGCACUGACGCUCAUGCACGAAAGCGUGGGGAGCAAACAGGAUUAGAUACCCCCGUAGUCCCUGUCUCUUAUAA